CAUCUUUGUUAACAGGUACGGGGUUGGACUGGCCUGGUUGCGUGGAAGAAGAGCAGACCGUCACCAGUAGCAGCAGUUCUGUGAUGCACUGCGGUCAAUCCCUGACGUGCAGCAGAAGUGGAGAUGUAUGCUGACCCGGGAGGAUCCCAACAGCAGUCAAGCAGGGAAGAGGAGGAUGCGCAGCAAGCAGCAGAGCCCAGCCCAGCCCUUCGCAGCCCAGCCCCGGAUCCAGCGCAGCCCACACCAGCCAGCCCAUCCCACCAGGAGAUCCAGUGCCGCGACCAGGCAGCCUAACAG